rnacentral:ncRNA from 2 species
GAUUUAUAAAGAAGCGGUGAGAGAUCAGGCUCAACGACCCGCUGACAACCUUCCAAUUGUGGAAAAGGUGCCAACUCCUGUUUCAGCCAAUUGGCUGGAAACAUAUAAAUU